AGGGAAUGUCUCCUAUCCGUUACCAAUGGAGGCACUCGGUCUCGCCGUGGGUGAAGAAGAAACUUUACCUUAGACGCUCGUCGUCAGUGGUGGGAUGUGAGGAAGGGUUAGAUGCCCA
rfam:Bacillus enclensis strain SGD-1123 genomic scaffold Scaffold4, whole genome shotgun sequence.